AGAGUAAAGUUGGGGUUGUUGGCUGCCUCUGGAGCCAGGCUGUAGUAGAAGUGCUGACCCUCCUGCGGGUCAUCCCUGUCAAUCGCGCUCACUGUCUGGAUCAGCUACAGAAUACAAGAACAAAGCAGAAACAGGACACAUGGAGGUAAUCACCUGCUGGCACCUGCCCAAGGGAAAGCUUUGCUUCAGCUGUGCUGUAUAUUGCACAGUGAGUCUGGACACUACUGCAUGAGAAAAAAAAAAAGGUGCUAUGUACGAUGUCAAUCCUGGUGUGAUGUGCUUGCCUUUGGAAAGAAGCACUGACAGCUGCCGACAGAGUUUAGAUAAAACAUGUGGUUAGCUGAGCCCUCUUUUCAGCGCUCAUCCUUUCCAGCAUGAUGCUUCCACAUAGGACCGCAUUCCCUCCAAAAACGCCUGGUGUUACCAGCCUUUCUCACCUGCCCUGCUUUGGCGUUUUCACAAACAAAAGCUUCAUAAAACCUCGCAAACUCUGGUGCAUUGUCGUUCACAUCCAGGACUUUCACUGUCACGGAGACGCUGCCCACUUGCGAGGGGUUGUCUGGAAGGAGAGGCACAAUGUAAAGAAGGGCAGUGUACAAGAAGGGGAAAGGGGCUGCUCCUCCCUCUGCUCAACAGCUCCAUGGCCAGUACAGUGAUGUUGUGCCAAGAAACGUCCUCCCGGUCAAGAGGUCUUGCAGUCAUCAGCGCUCCUGAUGUAAUGUCGACAUAAAAGAACCGCCCUGGAUCACUGCUCCUGUCAAUCGAGUAUCUGCAAGAGCACAUGUUAAAAAUAUUAUGCAACCCUUGUGAAAACUGUGUGCUAUAGCCAAUGAAGUAUCGCAGCAAUGGGAAUACUGUUAUGUACGGCAGAUCUACAUUCCUCCACAACCUAGUUAUGUGCUGCAUUGACUUAUAUAGGUACAGAGUGAGAUGCUCAAAAAACUAGGAGCUCAUGUGGCUAAUGGUGUUUAACGGACUGUUGCUGAACAGAGACAACUCAGAAGCUGGACUGAUACAAGGUUUGGCAAAGAUCAGCUCAACAGCCGAAGCAUUUUUCAGAUGAGAGAAGGAGCCGACCUGCAGGGAUUGUUAACUUGCAGUAACCUGGAGCUUCUGCAGGUUGUAAAAAUUAGUAUGUGGGCUGGCCUUAGAAAAAAAACAGUCUUCUCUGAUAAACUGGGCUGACUUGGCAGCCACUAUAGAAAAGAGCGCUCGUGAUCACACAAAUCUGCUCCUUUGGCUCCUUGCUGAGUUACCGCUAUGAAGCUCCCAUGGCUGUAAAUACAGCUUUACCUUUCUUAACUCCUCUGGGAAUACCUAGCUUUGCAGCUUUGACCAGACACUAUAUAACUUAGUGGUUCAUGAAUAUUUAUUAGCAUGCAUUCAAUCUACUCCAAAAGUAGCUGUGUAUUUGAGCUGUUGACAAAGGUGGGCUUUGAAACAGAAGGGAGAGAGAGAGGAGAAGAUGCGAACGAUCUCCAUAUCACAGAAAAGGCAAGGGUGAGCUCCUGCAUUGCUUUGGCAGUCAUAGCAAAACCGCUCAGUGUGUGCGAUCUGGUUUGACUAAACCCACUGAUGACUACCACGGGCUAAAAAGAAAGAGAGUUUCUCUUGUUUCAGCCCCAUCACUGCCCCACCAACCAAAAGUACCAGGGAGCGGUCCUGGGGGAGCACACAUGGAGAGGACAGACCUGAUGGAGUUGUUGGUCACAUCCGGGUCCUUGGCAGAAAUCAUCUGUAUGGUGGUUCCAAUCUCCACGUCCUCGGGCACUUCCACAAAGUAGAAGCUGGGCUCAAACACUGGAGGCUC